rnacentral:rRNA from 1 species
UGGGGAAUAUUGCACAAUGGGCGCAAGCCUGAUGCAGCCAUGCCGCGUGUAUGAAGAAGGCCUUCGGGUUGUAAAGUACUUUCAGCGGGGAGGAAGGGAGUAAAGUUAAUACCUUUGCUCAUUGACGUUACCCGCAGAAUAAGCACCGGCUAACUCCGUGCCAGCAGCCGCGGUAAUACGGAGGGUGCAAGCGUUAAUCGGAAUUACUGGGCGUAAAGCGCACGCAGGCGGUUUGUUAAGUCAGAUGUGAAAUCCCCGGGCUCAACCUGGGAACUGCAUCUGAUACUGGCAAGCUUGAGUCUCGUAGAGGGGGGUAGAAUUCCAGGUGUAGCGGUGAAAUGCGUAGAGAUCUGGAGGAAUACCGGUGGCGAAGGCGGCCCCCUGGACGAAGACUGACGCUCAGGUGCGAAAGCGUGGGGAGCAAACAGG